rnacentral:rRNA from 1 species
UACGUAGGGUGCAAGCGUUAAUCGGAAUUACUGGGCGUAAAGCGUGCGCAGGCGGUUGUGUAAGACAGAUGUGAAAUCCCCGGGCUCAACCUGGGAACUGCAUUUGUGACUGCACGGCUGGAGUGCGGCAGGGGGGGAUGGAAUUCCGCGUGUAGCAGUGAAAUGCGUAGAUAUGCGGAGGAACACCGAUGGCGAAGGCAAUCCCCUGGACCUGUACUGACGCUCAUGCACGAAAGCGUGGGGAGCAAACAGG